rnacentral:rRNA from 1 species
AUAUCAAUAAGCGGAGGAAAAGAAACCAACAGGGAUUGCCCUAGUAACGGCGAGUGAAGCGGCAACAGCUCAAAUUUGAAAUCUGGCCCCAGGCCCGAGUUGUAAUUUGUAGAGGAUGCUUUUGGUGCGGUACUUUCCGAGUUCCCUGGAACGGGACGCCUUAGAGGGUGAGAGCCCCGUACGGUUGGAUACCUAGCCUCUGUAAAGCUCCUUCGACGAGUCGAGUAGUUUGGGAAUGCUGCUCAAAAUGGGAGGUAAAUUUCUUCUAAAGCUAAAUACCGGCCAGGACGACGAUACGCACAAGUA